UCUCCACGAUGAAUGCUUUAAAAAGUAGGACCGAAAUUAAGGAGACAAAGAAAGCUUUCUUUUGUUGUUUCUGAGAUAAGAUUCUUUUAAUGCAUUCUCAAGAUUGAAGUUUGAGCGGCAGCGUAGCUACUCCGAUAACUGAGAAUCUUGCACAACGUUCAUUGACAUAUUGGGACGUACCAUGGGCACGAGUCGCCUAUGGUAGGUCAAAAGAAGAAACUUAAGUAGUAGAAUAGAAUACAUUAUUAAGUACAGUAAUAUUUAAGGAUUACGAGAGGGCACGUAUAUUAAGUUAUAUAUGUGCGA
rnacentral:rRNA from 1 species